UACGAAGGGGGCUAGCGUUGUUCGGAUUUACUGGGCGUAAAGCGCACGUAGGCGGAUCGAUCAGUCAGGGGUGAAAUCCCAGAGCUCAACUCUGGAACUGCCUUUGAUACUGUCGAUCUGGAGUAUGGAAGAGGCGAGUGGAAUUCCGAGUGUAGAGGUGAAAUUCGUAGAUAUUCGGAGGAACACCAGUGGCGAAGGCGGCUCACUGGUCCAUUACUGACGCUGAGGAGCGAAAGCGUGGGGAGCGAACAGG
rnacentral:rRNA from 1 species